rnacentral:lncRNA from 1 species
GCAGGCGGCAGCUUGUCCGGCCUGACUCUGCGGAGGGUGGUGGCCGCCUGGGCCCCAGCUCUUCACCGAGGGUCUGCUCUCAGGCCUGGAACCUAACUGGCGACAAGAAGUGACAGCAGCAGUCCGGUCGGCCCACGUGCUAUCUUCGCAGUCCAGAACCUGUCGCCGAAACAAGCCGAGCAGAUCGGGAACUCAGUUUCAGUGUUUGCCCCAUAUGGAAAGUCGUGAGACCCGACUUUCCUAGUUCGGGUCUCCCAUGUGUCAGUAACUUAGGAUAACUGGGAUGAUGAUGAUGAUGAAAA